UGGGGAAUUUUGGACAAUGGGCGAAAGCCUGAUCCAGCAAUGCCGCGUGUGUGAAGAAGGCCUUCGGGUUGUAAAGCACUUUUGUCCGGAAAGAAAUCCUUGGCUCUAAUACAGUCGGGGGAUGACGGUACCGGAAGAAUAAGCACCGGCUAACUACGUGCCAGCAGCCGCGGUAAUACGUAGGGUGCAAGCGUUAAUCGGAAUUACUGGGCGUAAAGCGUGCGCAGGCGGUUUGCUAAGACCGAUGUGAAAUCCCCGGGCUCAACCUGGGAACUGCAUUGGUGACUGGCAGGCUAGAGUAUGGCAGAGGGGGGUAGAAUUCCACGUGUGAGCAGUGAAAGUGCGUAGAGAUGUGGAGGAAUACCGAUGGCGAAGGCAGCCCCCUGGGCCAAUACUGACGCUCAUGCACGAAAGCGU
rnacentral:rRNA from 1 species